UGUGACAUGGACACUGAUGGUGGAGGGUGGACGACAAUUCAAAGACGAUUUGAUGGAAGUAUUGAUUUCUAUAGAGAUUGGGAGGAUUACAAACUUGGAUUUGGGGAUAUAGCGGGAGAACAUUGGCUA